GAUGAACGCUGGCGGCGUGCCUAAUACAUGCAAGUCGAGCGAACGGACGAGAAGCUUGCUUCUCUGAUGUUAGCGGCGGACGGGUGAGUAACACGUGGAUAACCUACCUAUAAGACUGGGAUAACUUCGGGAAACCGGAGCUAAUACCGGAUGAUAUUUUGAACCGCAUGGUUCAAAAGUGAAAGACGGUCUUGCUGUCACUUAUCGAUGGAUCCGCGCUGCAUUAGCUAGUUGGUAAGGUAACGGCUUACCAAGGCAACGAUGCAUAGCCGACCUGAGAGGGUGAGCGGCCAGACUGGAACUGAGACACGGUCCAGACUCCUACGGGAGGCAGCAGUAGGGAAGCUUCCGCAAUGGGCGAAAGCCUGACGGAGCAACGCCGCGUGAGUGAUGAAGGUCUUCGGAUCGUAAAACUCUGUUAUUAGGGAAGAACAUAUGUGGAAGUAACUGUGCACAUCUUGACGGUACCUAAUCAGAAAGCCACGGCUAACUACGUG
rnacentral:rRNA from 1 species